CAGGCAAGAGGUGAAGCUGGAGGUGAGAUCUUUGCCAGAGCCCCAAUGAUGGCCAUAGCAGCAAAGACCAGCUCUUGUCCCCUCACCAAAGGAUCUCUUACGUUCUUCCAAAGAUCUCCUGGGGGGAUUGGAAUCACCACAGCAGCCUAUCUACCACGGCCUGAUGAUGAUGAUGAUGUCUACCUGAGACUCCAAGCCAAACUCUACGGAGUCCAUCCCCUGGAUCCUUCACCUGCAGCCCUUGCCUUCAUCCCGUCCAUUCUCACAUCCAUUCCAUUUCCUCAAUAAAUAUUCGAAACCCA